rnacentral:tRNA from 2 species
CGGCGAGUAGCGCAGCUUGGUAGCGCAACCGGUUUGGGACCAGUGGGUCGGAGGUUCGAAUCCUCUCUCGCCGACCA